AUUGAACGCUGGCGGCAUGCUUUACACAUGCAAGUCGAACGGCAGCGCGGGCUUCGGCCUGGCGGCGAGUGGCGAACGGGUGAGUAAUGCAUUGGAACGUGCCCAGUAGGGGGGGAUAGACGGGCGAAAGCCGGAUUAAUACCGCAUACGACCUGAGGGUGAAAGCGGGGGACCGAAAGGCCUCGCGCUAUUGGAGCGGGAGAUGUCGGAUUAGCUAGUUGGUGGGGUAAAGGCUUACCAAGGCGACGAUCCGUAGCUGGUCUGAGAGGACGACCAGCCACACUGGGACUGAGACACGGCCCAUACUCCUACGGGAGGCAGCAGUGGGGAAUUUUGGACAAUGGGGGCAACCCUGAUCCAGCCAUGCCGCGUGCGAGAAGAAGGCCUUCGGGUUGUAAACCGCUUUUGUUCGGGAAGAAAUCCUCUGGGCUAAUACCCCGGGGGGAUGACGGUACCGGAAGAAUAAGCACCGGCUAACUACGUG
rnacentral:rRNA from 1 species